AUUGAACGCUGGCGGCAUGCUUUACACAUGCAAGUCGAACGGUAACAGGCCUUCGGGUGCUGACGAGUGGCGCACGGGUGAGUAAUGCAUCGGAACGUACCCAGAGGUGGGGGAUAACGCAGCGAAAGCUGUGCUAAUACCGCAUGUGAUCUGAGGAUGAAAGCGGGGGACCGAGCAGCAAUGUUUGGCCUCGCGCCUUUGGAGCGGCCGAUGUCGGAUUAGCUAGUUGGUGGGGUAAAGGCCUACCAAGGCGACGAUCCGUAGCUGGUCUGAGAGGACGACCAACCACACUGGGACUGAGACACGGCCCAGACUCCUACGGGAGGCAGCAGUGGGGAAUUUUGGACAAUGGGCGCAAGCCUGAUCCAGCAAUGCCGCGUGCGGGAAGAAGGCCUUCGGGUUGUAAACCGCUUUUGGCAGGAACGAAACGGUGUCCGCUAAUACCGGGCGCUAAUGACGGUACCUGCAGAAUAAGCACCGGCUAACUACGUG
rnacentral:rRNA from 1 species